rnacentral:rRNA from 1 species
GUGCCAGCCGCCGCGGUAAUACGUAGGGUGCGAGCGUUAAUCGGAAUUACUGGGCGUAAAGCGUGCGCAGGCGGUUUUGUAAGACAGAUGUGAAAUCCCUGGGCUUAACCUAGGAACUGCGUUUGUGACUGCAAGACUUGAGUGUGGCAGAGGGGGGUGGAAUUCCACGUGUAGCAGUGAAAUGCGUAGAGAUGUGGAGGAACACCGAUGGCGAAGGCAGCCCCCUGGGUUAACACUGACGCUCAUGCACGAAAGCGUGGGUAGCAAACAGGAUUAGAUACCCUGGUAGUCCACGCCCUAAACGAUGCCAACUAGGUGUUGGGGAAGGAGACUUCCUUAGUACCGUAGCUAACGCGUGAAGUUGGCCGCCUGGGGAGUACGGUCGCAAGAUUAAAACUCAAAGGAAUUGACGGGGACCCGCACAAGCGGUGGAUGAUGUGGAUUAAUUCGAUGCAACGCGAAAAACCUUACCUACCCUUGACAUGCCAGGAAUCCCGUAGAGAUAUGGGAGUGCUCGAAAGAGAACCUGGACACAGGUGCUGCAUGGCUGUCGUCAGCUCGUGUCGUGAGAUGUUGGGUUAAGUCCCGCAACGAGCGCAACCCUUGUCAUUAGUUGCCAUCAUUCAGUUGGGCACUCUAAUGAGACUGCCGGUGACAAACCGGAGGAAGGUGGGGAUGACGUCAAGUCCUCAUGGCCCUUAUGGGUAGGGCUUCACACGUCAUACAAUGGUCGGUACAAAGGGUUGCCAAGCCGCGAGGUGGAGCCAAUCCCGAAAAGCCGAUCGUAGUCCGGAUCGGAGUCUGCAACUCGACUCCGUGAAGUCGGAAUCGCUAGUAAUCGUGGAUCAGCAUGCCACGGUGAAUACGUUCCCGGGUCUUGUACACACCGCCCGUCACACCAUGGGAGUGGGUUUCACCAGAAGUAGGUAGCCUAACCGCAAGGGGGGCGCUUACCACGGUGGGGUUCAUGACUGGGGUGAAGUCGUAACAAGGUAACC